UACGAAGGGGGCUAGCGUUGCUCGGAAUUACUGGGCGUAAAGGGCGCGUAGGCGGACAGUUUAGUCAGAGGUGAAAGCCCAGGGCUCAACCUUGGAAUUGCCUUUGAUACUGGCUGUCUUGAGUUCGGGAGAGGUGAGUGGAAUGCCGAGUGUAGAGGUGAAAUUCGUAGAUAUUCGGCGGAACACCAGUGGCGAAGGCGACUCACUGGCCCGAUACUGACGCUGAGGCGCGAAAGCGUGGGGAGCAACAGGG
rnacentral:rRNA from 1 species